GGGGAAUUUUCCGCAAUGGGCGAAAGCCUGACGGAGCAACGCCGCGUGAGGGAGGAAGGUCUUUGGAUUGUAAACCUCUUUUCUCAAGGAAGAAGUUCUGACGGUACUUGAGGAAUCAGCCUCGGCUAACUCCGUGCCAGCAGCCGCGGUAAUACGGGGGAGGCAAGCGUUAUCCGGAAUUAUUGGGCGUAAAGCGUCCGCAGGUGGUCAGCCAAGUCUGCUGUCAAAUCAGGUUGCUUAACGACCUAAAGGCGGUGGAAACUGGCAGGCUAGAGAGCAGUAGGGGUAGCAGGAAUUCCCAGUGUAGCGGUGAAAUGCGUAGAGAUUGGGAAGAACAUCGGUGGCGAAAGCGUGCUACUGGGCUGUAUCUGACACUCAGGGACGAAAGCUAGGGGAGCGAAAGGGAUUAGAUACCCCAGUAGUC
rnacentral:rRNA from 1 species